CUACGUAUGGAAGGGAUAAGCGCUGAAGGCAUCUAAGCGCGAAGCCCCCCUCAAGAUAAGAUUUCCCAUACCGAGAAGGUAGUAAGACCCCUAGAAGAGAAAUAGGUAGAUAGGUCAGGAGUGUAAGUGCAGUAAUGCAUUGAGCUGACUGAUACUAAUCGGUCGAGGGCUUGACCAA
rfam:Garciella nitratireducens DSM 15102 genome assembly, contig: BP36DRAFT_scaffold00018.18